rnacentral:tRNA from 1 species
GUAGGUAUAGCUCAGUGGCAGAGCACAUGCUUAGCACACACGAGGUCCUGGGUUCAAUCCCCAGCACCUCCA